GUUUUCCUAUGUUAUUCUAUUAUGUAUUGGUAUCUGUUAUCCUUCUGUAUUUUUUAAUAUUUUAAAACACAAAAUGUAUUUUAAGUUAUGUAAGUUGUUAUAUAAGUUUGUAAGCUAUUAUCCUUUGUUUUAUGUGGUUUCAUAUAUUAUGUUUUCAAUUUCAUUUGCAAAAAUAUUUUUGCUUAAAAUAUUUAGAAUGACAUGAAACUUGGCUGGAUGUGGGAUGGCGAAGGGAGGUGCCAAAAUAAUUAUUCUGAAGGCAGGAUAAUAAUUUUUUUAAUUAAAUUUGUUUUAACCUAACAUUUGAAGCACCCCUAUCCUAUUAGUGUAGCAGACCACACUACUCGACAUUAUUUUCCACAAAUUUUAGAGAUAUGUUUUACAUUUAGAAACUACUUUAGUUAUUAUUAUAAGUAAAUGUUGAGACACCCAGCACAAAAAAAAACUGUUCUUCAACAGAUUUACAAAACGUUAUUGCGUUCUAAAAUGUACUUUCGUUGCACAUGCAGUCAUCUAUUUUUAUAUUUGUAACUAUUAUUGUUGUCUUCUAAUAAAAAAAAAAGAUGAACUUUGAUCUGACGCUGAAAUACGCUUCUAUUAAUUAAUUUUAAAAAACAUUUAGGUUCAUUUCCUGUUGAGGUAAUGCAGGCAAGCUUUGUUGUUCACAUCUCCUUUCCUGGCUUUCUCAAACAGUCAAGAUGGGAACUGGCUCUCUGCUUGAUCUAAAAAAAUGCAUCUAAAAGCCUCCAAAAUGUCCAUAUCAACACUCUCCAAUCUGCCAUCAUCAAUGAGAUCAACGCUCAUGGAUGGCCAGCAGUCUACUUUACAUCAGCAUGUCGAGCAGACUUCAUUUGACCAAGAGGUGGCAGUGUAGCUCUCAGGAUCCCUCCUCGUGUCACUG